GGUAGUAUAGCAUAGUAGUUAAGUGCAUGCUUCAAGAGCUAACUGCCUGGGCUCAAACCCCAUUGCUGCCA
rfam:Myotis brandtii contig298743, whole genome shotgun sequence.